GAAAGGACAAUGGAAGAAAAGAAUUCUUGAGAGACAAGAUAAUAAAGCUCAGAAUAAUUCUGAGAUCAAGUUUCAAUGACUGCUAAGGAUCAACAAUGGCAGGUGCGCUACACUAAGAAGCCUGCUCGCAUUCGCAAGUGGAUAAAAGGGAGUUCCAGGAAUGUCAAGAUUCUACUCAUUCACAGAAAACAUGCUGACCCAAGCCUUGACCAUACCUGGUUGAAGGUAUAUAAAUAUGAUCAAAAUUCAUUGUACAAAAAUUUCAAACAAAAAAAGAUAUGGAAAGCAGGUAGUAUAUCUCAUGAUAGACUGCAUAAUUAGUAAUGAUAUAGGCCUGGGUUCAACUCCUAGCCCCACUAAAAAUGAAAGACGACAAACCAAAAUGUAAAGAAAAAUAAAUUUAUCACAUAUGUAAAAUGCUAUG